AUGACAGAAAACGCGACCUACUGUGACAAACACGUAUCAUCACGGAAGUGUAUUUUUUUUGUAGUGAUACCAGUAGACGUCACAAACCUAAAGGCAAAGUACCAUAGAGAGAGCAGGUUGGUUGACAUAGAAGACACAAUAGCCUAAUUCAAAGAGAAAGCAAAAGCAGAUAUUGAUUUCUUCUACAUGAUAAGAUUGGACGAUGAGGACCGUGUUAGAAACAUGUAUUGGGUGGAUGGUGCUGCAAGAAGAGCCUACAAACAUUUCCGUGAUUGCAUUUCGUUCGAUGCGACAUAUCUCACGAAUAUGUACAAGAUGCCAUGUGCUCCAUUCAUAGGAAUAAAUAACCACAACCAGUCAUUGCAGUUCGGUUGCAGACUCAUUCGGAACGAAGAUGCAGAUGGUUACACUUGGCUGUUCAAAACCAUCUUGGAGUGCAUGGAUGGUCUUGCUCCGAUGAACAUAAUAACAGACCAGGAUUUUAGCAUGCGUGCAGGAAGAUAG
rnacentral:rRNA from 1 species